GCCAGGUGACAGAGCUGUUGCAGACGCUGAUUACUGUGAGCCAGAGCCAUAGUGUUGUUUUGCACUGAACAGAACGGAAUUGGCCAGGUGAACCUUUUUGGGUAUGAAAAAGGAUGGCAAGCCACUGAACGGCUAGGAGCAGGACUCAUUCUGCAUUGAAGCUUCCACUGGUUGGGUAGGAAGCUAUCAAAGAUGACGCUCUGUCCCCAUUUUCCAAAUACACUGAUUUCCACAAUCAUACACACCAUUCCCCCCGUUUAUGGACAAUAGCGCUUGGACAUCUCUCAUGGACAUUCAGAUAAAACUCAUGGACUUCAGUGUGGAUCAGUGGUUUUGAUGUUAACAUGUGUUAUUUAUGGGGAACUGUUUUUUGAGAAUCUAUAUUGCUUGGUAUAAGCCAGAAGAAUUUGCUUAGUUGUCUUUGUGCACCCCCACUGGGUUUUUGAUUAAUUGAAUAGCUGCAGCAGGAGUGAUUAUUUAAGUUUUCCUUUUCUUUUCUUGUUAUUUUCCUUUGGGUUUUGGUUAAAUACAUGGUUCCUGCAAAAGCAUUUUGUGUUGUGUGUAUUUAUUAAUUACUGCCCAUCAGCUCCAGUAGCAUUCCUAAAUCUUCUGAUUAAUAAUAACCAUAAUAUUUUACUCAAUACCUAGCCUGUAUUAAUUCAUUAGCGCUUCAUCAGUGUUACAUUUCUAUUAAUAACAGUAUUGAUAUUGCAUUCAGAUGUUCAAACAUAUUGGUAUCAUAUUAGCCUUUAUUACAGGUCCAGUAAGAACCACUUCAAACUGUUGAGUUGAAUCUAUAAUCUUAAAUGUUUAUAUGCAGACUGCAUUGUGAAAGAAAGGCCUAACG